GAGUUCAUGCCCUUCGGGGUAGAUCUCCCACCCUUUGUAUACCAUACCUCUGUUGCUUUGGCGGGCCGCCUAGCUACUGGCUUCGGCUGGUAAGUGCCCGCCAGAGGACCCAAAACCCUGAAUAUUAAUGUCGUCUGAAAAACUUAAUAGUUACAACUUUCAACAACGGAUCUCUUGGUUCU
rnacentral:misc_RNA from 1 species